rnacentral:misc_RNA from 1 species
AAGUCGUAACAAGGUCUCCGUUGGUGAACCAGCGGAGGGAUCAUUACAGAGUUAUACAACUCCCAUACCAUUUGUAAACUUUACUCAGUUAUGCCUCGGCGUGAACUGCGUACGGAGUGUAGAGUGGUGUUACCCGGUAGCUUACCCUGUAGGUUACCCUGUAGCGCUACCCUGCAUCGCUCCCGCGCAGCCCGCCGGUGGUACACUAAACUCUUGUUUUAUUUUAUAUUCUGAGCGUAUUAUUUUAAUAAUUAAAACUUUCAACAACGGAUCUCUUGGUUCUG